rnacentral:rRNA from 1 species
GUAUGCCUACAACAUAGCGUUAAUGCAUCGGAUCCCAUUAGAACUCCGCAGUUAAGCACGCUCAUGAUAGAGUAGUUUUGGGAUGGGUGACCGCCCGAGAAGUCCUAGUGUUUUACAUGCU